GUCGGCGGCGCUGCAGGCGAGCACAGGACGAUGACGAAGAGGACGGGGCUGCUGAGCGAUCCCCAGCACCCAAGGACCUGGAGCCCCAGGUCGCAGCCUCAGGACCCGGAGGAUGUGCCCAGCACCUCCAGGAGACGCGCGGACGAGGUCGUCGCCCCGCGGCUCGCCAAUCAGGCGUAGUGUGGAGACAGGGCGGGGAGUACGCUGGCGGCCGUGUAGACCCGCAGCACGACACGGUGGACUCAGCCCGGGAGGGAGUCUAGCUGCGGGCCAUGUCCAGCGUGGAUUCCAGAACCCGCCGCCUAGAGUCGCGGGGCGUCCUGAGGGAGAACUGGCCCCUAGUGGGAGUUGGGCGCGUCCCUGGAACCUCCCCUCCUCGAGGGCUGGGAGUUAGCGGGAAGAAGAAGAGGCCGCGGGCACCAUGAUUCAGACCCGGAAACUACGCCUCCAGGCAUGGCUAGGAGAAAUGGGCUUCGGAGACCAUGGCCACCCCUCUCCCUGCCUAGGAGCACGCCUGCCCCAGCACCCGGGCCUGAACGCAGCGAGAGCUCCAGAGCCUGCGAGUCCCAGAGGACCCCGUAUCUGACCAGUUUCCAACUCAUCUUCACUUGGGAGUUGGCUGUGAAGAGACAGGCAAGUCUCUUCAUCAAGCAGGAGGAAAACAUACAGCGGGAAGGAAAUAUGAAACGACCUCAUUUCUAGUUUAACCCUUUGGAUCUCCUUUGUACCACGUCUCCUUGGAUGAGAAGAGUCUCCCUCUCAUCAGCACAUUAAGGAAUCUACCAUACAACUUCAGUCUUCAGUAUUGCCAAAGACUAGUAACCUAUGCUCCAAGAGUUAAUGACUAUAAGUGCAUCACUGAAGCCUGUAGAAAAAGGCCCUGAUGCCUCCUGCCCUAAUAAUUUGUAUGUGUUUAUUUUUUUCCAUUUGCAAGAUAGAAAACAAACUGGUCUGGUUACAACUAACCAUAGAUUUGCACCAACUAUUAGAAAUGGAUUUUUUUAUCAUCAGUUUUUUUUCAUGUUGUG
rnacentral:lncRNA from 1 species